AGAUUUUAUUUCUCUGAAAUGAGGUGCCUCCACACCAUGUUUGCUAUUGACGCUCAGCUGCCGAAUUUCCUGGCCCUUUGCAUAGGGAAAUGAACAUUUUUGCAUUUGAAAAUCUUCACCUUCCUCCAGAUUGGCUUCGAUAGUGGCUCCAUCUGAGAUUUUUCCUAUUUACCAUUUGCCUGAGCACUGAUUUGGAGGAAGAAUCGUCUCUCCGCUGCCAGACAGGUGUGGGAGGGAGCAGACCAUGUGAACGGAACAGCACAUGCUCAUACGCUGACAUGGAAAGGAGCCAGAGGACCUGAAAAACAACCUGCAUUAACUCACUUAGGAGAGUGGCCUGACCUGAUCAGCCCUAACGCUUACACAGGCACAGUGCGGUCAGGGAUGGUGGUGUCGCAGGUUGAAGACAAGAAAGACAGAUGCGUGCCUGCAACCAGCUGUGAGAGCGCAGAGGCAAUGAUGAUGGAACAGAAGGCAAGAGGCUGUCAUCAUUCACAUCACAAGGACCAGAGACACCUUUCCUGGGAAGAGAGCUGACAAACCUUCCCUGGUGAGGGGUGAACAUCCUUGGGAAGCCACAGAGAGCAUGGCACAGUUUUUCAUUGAUCACCACCGUCAAGAUGCUGCCAGAAUCGUGCUGUCUAGGAAACCAUUUAAACUAGUGAGAAGAGGAUACAGCAUUUGACAACGGUUGUUUUGUUUCAAGACACACGCAUUAAAAAUACAUCUGAAAUCCGGGACACAAGGAAUCCAAAUAAUGUUAUUAAAUUUCUUGUCGAAGAGGGUCUCCGGGGACAGCUGGCUCCGCUCUUUACAAAAAACACGCAGAACUCGACUUGCCUGAACAGUGUCUUUGUAUCUCUUCUCUUCUCCCUCUCUCUUCCUGCUUUUUUCAUUUUCCACUUUCCUGUUUCUCCCGAGGAGACAAACAAAUCUCUAAAGGACUAUUAAGUUGCAAAUAUAUUGGAGCCAAAAAUAGAAGAUGGAGCCUUAUAAACAUUUUGCAUAUUUUGGUGUAAUUUGUUGAAAAUAGUGCAAAAUAUGCUCGCAGUUGGCAUCUAGAAUGCAAAUAUUAGGAAUCCAGUCCCCUGAUACAUUAUGGUUUUUCAGCAGUAUAGUGUGGGCUCGUCCAAUUGCUAUUGUGUGACUUUGUAGUUUGUUGGAGUGUGAAAAAUAUCAGUGACUUGUUUGUACAGUAUAUUAGGGAGAUACAUGUCGCCAAGUGUUAUUAGCUAUUCUAGAGACCUCAAGGGACAAAAAAGCCCAGAGUGGAACUCAGGGAGAAACAGAUGCAUGUAUUUUUAACGUGGUUGAUGCCAGUUGCUUUUCUGAGCAGUUUCCUUAAAAUAAAAACCAGGCCAGGGAUCAAAGUGUGCAGGGGGUUUCCGUGUUCCAGAACACGGGGGUUAAGUGGAGAGACUUUCAAUGGGGAGAUCUGUAGUACCUGUUUGAGCUGAUGGAACAGUCUCCCACCCAGGGCUUCAGUGAGCCUGAAUGGUUUUACUGCUGACAGUAAAUCUGUCUUUCCUUUCCCCUGACAGGUGAGAAGCCAUCCUCUCUCGAAUGGGGGCUCCCACUGUACAUCUGGCACCCACUUCGCAGAAUCACCCUAAGAAGGAUGUACGGAAGACUUGACUGAUUGGAGGAUCAAAAUAUGUUGGGGGGAAAAUGUACAAGGAGGACAAACCAAAAGAUCCACAAAAGAAGAGGCUGUCUUAUGAAAGGACUGAUCAUAGAACCAAGCCAAAUAGUACUGAUAAUUAACAUUACAAGACUGCAUCAAAAUAUUCUUAUUCUAGGGAGAAGAGCUGCACAAUAUAGAAAUAAUUACAGCUAAAAUUAGUAGGGUCAGAAAUAUCAGAGCACACAAAUUUAGAGAAAAGUGUGUGAUGAGGAUGGAACCAGAGAUAAUGAUAGUAUGUAGAAUCUUCAUCUUUUGUAGAAAAUACUAAAACAUCUUGCUUCAUAUCUGAAACUGAUAAUUGAUAAAUACAUGUUUAAAGAUUUUAUAUAAAGUUAAAACAUAGCCACCACCAGAAAUAUAAUCUAACUGUACUACAUCCAAAUUACCAGAUGGGAAAAAAAUAAAACAGACCUUAUAUAGAGCAAAAGAGAAAGAGGAAGAAAACAUUAAAAAGACAAAGUAUAAAAUACAGCAAAGUAAGAGUAAAUAUGUCUACUGUAGCAACAAAUACUCAGUUUAAUAGUUAAAUGAUCUUAUAGUUGUCCAAAACCCACAAGUUUUGCAGGUGUUGUAUUAAAGAGAGGUAUUUAAGAAUGGCCCAGUCUGAAGGUAAAAGUUUGGAGAUGUCAUACAAAUACAAGCAGAAAUAAAGUAGGGGUAAACACAAUGAUAUAUCAACGAGUUAAAAAUCACAUUAAAUGCUGAUUAGUAAUACAUUAAAGCCCUUGACAGCACAGAUUCUGCUUCAUACAUUGCUGGUGGAAAUAUAAAAUAGUGCAGCCACUCUGGAAAACAGUUUGGCAGUUCCUCAAGAAGUUAAAGAUAGUCUUACCAUAUGACCCAGCAAUUUUACUCCAAAGUGCAUAUCCAAGAGAAUUGAAAACAUAUGUUCACCCAAAAACGAGUAUAUGAAUGUUCAUAAAGGUAUUAUUCAUAUUAGCCCCAAAGUGGAAACAAUCCAAAUGUCUAUCAACUGAUGAAGGGAUAAAUAAAAUGUGGUAUAUCUAUACAAUGGAAUAUUAUUCAGCUAUGACAAGGAGUGAAGUAAUAACACUUGCUAAAAUAUGGAUGAACCUUAAAAGCAUUAUGGUAGGUGAAAGAAGUCUGGCACAAAAAGCCAUAUAUUGUAUGAUUCCAUUUAUAUGAAAUGUCCAGAAUAGGCAAAUCUAUAUAUAGAGAAAGCAGAUGAGUGAUUGAUAGGGGCGUGUGGGUGAGUGAGAUUAGUAUUGAUUGCUAAUGGUACAAGAUUUCUAUUUUGGGUAAUGAAAACGUUCUGUAAUUAGAUAGCAGUGAUGGCUACACAACACAGUGAAUAUGCUAAAACUCACUGAAAUGUAUUAUAUACUAAAACUCACUGAAAUGUAUUAUAUACUAAAACUCACUGAGUUGUAUUAUAUUUAAAGUGGCAAAUUUUAUAAGUGAAUUCUAUCUCAAAGCAAAUAAUUUUAAAAAGAGCAAGGAAUCUAGAACCAGGGUUGAAGAACACUUCUGACCCUCUCUUUAUGGUGCCUAGAGCUUGGUAUUAAAUGUCCUUGUACCUCAGUUCCUAAUCUGUAUAAUGAGAAUAAUAAUAUCUACCUCAUUUGUUGUUGCAGGAAUUAAAUGACUUAAUAUUUUUGAGA